rnacentral:rRNA from 1 species
GACGAACGCUAGCGGUGUGCUUAAUACAUGCAAGUCGAACGGUUCUUUUUCAGAUGAAGCUUCGGCUGAUUCUAAAAAAGAAUAGUGGCGAACGGGUGAGUAACGCGUGGGUAAUCUGCCCUUAAGACCGGGAUAAGCUUUCGAAAGGAAGUUUAAUACCGGAUAAUAAAACCAAAUCGAAUGAUUUGGCUUUCAAAGGUAGCUUUUAAAGCUUCCGCUUUUGGAUGAGCCCGCGUCCUAUCAGCUUGUUGGUGAGGUAAAGGCUCACCAAAGCUAAGACGGGUAGCCGGUCUGAGAGGACGGUCGGCCACACUGGGACUGAGACACGGCCCAGACUCCUACGGGAGGCAGCAGUAGGGAAUCUUGCGCAAUGGGCGAAAGCCUGACGCAGCGACACCGCGUGGAGGAUGAAGGUUUUCGGAUUGUAAACUCCUGUCAAUAGAGGAAGAAGGCAUUAAAGGUUAAUAGCUUCUAAUGUUGACGGUACUCUGUAAGGAAGCCCCGGCUAACUACGUGCCAGCAGCCGCGGUAAUACGUAGGGGGCAAGCGUUGUCCGGAUUUAUUGGGCGUAAAGCGCACGCAGGCGGCUUUUCAAGUCGGAUGUGAAAUCUCUUGGCUAAAACUAAGAAACUGCAUCCGAAACUGGAUUGCUUGAGUUCGGUAGAGGAGAGUGGAAUUCCCGGUGUAGCGGUGAAAUGCGCAGAUAUCGGGAAGAACACCAGUAGCGAAGGCGGCUCUCUGGAACGAUACUGACGCUAAGGUGCGAGAGCUAGGGUAGCAAACAGGAUUAGAUACCCUGGUAGUCCUAGCUGUAAACGAUGGGUACUAGAUGUAGGGAGAUAUCGACUCUCUCUGCGUCGGAGCUAACGCAUUAAGUGCCCCGCCUGGGGAGUACGACCGCAAGGUU